rnacentral:tRNA from 2 species
GGGGCUAUAGCUCAACAGGCAGAGCACACCUCUUAUAAGGGUGCGGUUAUGGGUUCGAACCCCAUUAGUCCCACCA